GUUUUUAUAGUAUAAAAAAUACAAUACAUUUUCAAUGUAUAGUUAAGAUAAGUCUUUAAAAAUA
rnacentral:tRNA from 1 species